AAGUCGUAACAAGGUUUCCGUAGGUGAACCUGCGGAAGGAUCAUUAAACGUUUUCCAACGUACCAACCACGUGAACUCGUUUUCGAGUGUCUGCGGUCGGCCUUGAGGGCGUCAAAGUAUGGUGGGCAUCCGCGGGCCGCAAGGCUCGAGGCUCUGCUGUUUGACGUUCUGCAUCGUCUUCGGACGAGACAAGCCGCGCCUCAGCAACCAUUCAUUCUUAACUACUUUUAAAACGCAUUGUACCACUCGUACUAACACUUUGUGAAGUCGGCAGAGCGCCUCGCGCGCACUCCGAUGAACUUAAAGACAUUAAUUGCUGAACAACUCUUAGCAACGGAUAUCUUGGUUCUC
rnacentral:misc_RNA from 1 species